rnacentral:tRNA from 2 species
GCCCGGAUGGCGGAACUGGCAGACGCAAGGGACUUAAAAUCCCUCGGCCUCACGGCUGUGCGGGUUCAAUCCCCGCUCCGGGUA